rnacentral:rRNA from 1 species
UGAACGCUGGCGGCAGGCCUAACACAUGCAAGUCGAGCGGUAGAGAGAAGCUUGCUUCUCUUGAGAGCGGCGGACGGGUGAGUAAUGCCUAGGAAUCUGCCUGGUAGUGGGGGAUAACGUUCGGAAACGGACGCUAAUACCGCAUACGUCCUACGGGAGAAAGCAGGGGACCUUCGGGCCUUGCGCUAUCAGAUGAGCCUAGGUCGGAUUAGCUAGUUGGUGAGGUAAUGGCUCACCAAGGCGACGAUCCGUAACUGGUCUGAGAGGAUGAUCAGUCACACUGGAACUGAGACACGGUCCAGACUCCUACGGGAGGCAGCAGUGGGGAAUAUUGGACAAUGGGCGAAAGCCUGAUCCAGCCAUGCCGCGUGUGUGAAGAAGGUCUUCGGAUUGUAAAGCACUUUAAGUUGGGAGGAAGGGUUGUAGAUUAAUACUCUGCAAUUUUGACGUUACCGACAGAAUAAGCACCGGCUAACUCUGUGCCAGCAGCCGCGGUAAUACAGAGGGUGCAAGCGUUAAUCGGAAUUACUGGGCGUAAAGCGCGCGUAGGUGGUUUGUUAAGUUGGAUGUGAAAUCCCCGGGCUCAACCUGGGAACUGCAUUCAAAACUGACUGACUAGAGUAUGGUAGAGGGUGGGUGGAAUUUCCUGUGUAGCGGUGAAAUGCGUAGAUAUAGGAAGGAACACCAGUGGCGAAGGCGACCACCUGGACUAAUACUGACACUGAGGUGCGAAAGCGUGGGGAGCAAACAGGAUUAGAUACCCUGGUAGUCCACGCCGUAACGAUGUCAACUAGCCGUUGGAAGCCUUGAGCUUUUAGUGGCGCAGCUAACGCAUUAAGUUGACCGCCUGGGGAGUACGGCCGCAAGGUUAAAACUCAAAUGAAUUGACGGGGGCCCGCACAAGCGGUGGAGCAUGUGGUUUAAUUCGAAGCAACGCGAAGAACCUUACCAGCCUUGACUUCCAAUGAACUUUCUAGAGAUAGAUUGGUGCCUUCGGGAACAUUGAAACAGUGCUGCAUGGUUGUCGUCAGCUCGUGUCGUGAGAUGUUGGGUUAGUCCC